rnacentral:rRNA from 1 species
CCCUUAGAUGUCCUGGGCCGCACGCGCGUUACACUGAUGCAUUCAACGAGCUCAUAACCUUGGCCGAGAGGCCUGGGCAAUCUUGUUAACGUGCAUCGUGAUAGGGAUAGAUUAUUGAAAUUAUUAAUCUUGAACGAGGAAUUCCUAGUAAACGCAGAUCAUCAAUCUGCAUUGAUUACGUCCCUGCCCUUUGUACACACCGCCCGUCGCACCUACCGAUUGGAUGGUCCGGUGAAGCCUCGGGAUUGUGGUUCUUGCCGCUUUAUUGUGGCGUGACCGCGAGAACUUGUCUAAACCUUAUCAUCUAGAGGAAGGUGAAGUCGUAACA